GCCAAAUUAGCUCAGUUGGUAGAGCUUUUGUUUUGUAAACAAAAGGCCGUCGGUUCGAUUCCGCCAUUUGGCU
rnacentral:tRNA from 2 species